GCUAGCCGUAGGUCGUGUGACCCGCAGGCACCGGGAGAUCCAGAAGUGAAACGCCAGGCUCUCUGGAGGCCAGGAGAUGACUCUGUUGACGUUCAGGGAUGUGGCCAUAGAAUUCUCCCUGGAGGAGUGGAAAUGCCUGGACCUCGCUCAGCAGAAUUUGUACAGGGAUGUGAUGUUGGAGAACUACAGAAACUUGUUCUCCGUUGGUCUCACUGUCUGUAAGCCAGGCCUGAUCACCUGCCUGGAGCAACGAAAAGAGCCCUGGAAUGUGAAGAGACAGGAGGCAGCAGACGGACAUCCAGGUAUUUUCUUUGUGGUUACCAUGGAAAUUAUAUAAAACAUCUUAAAGUUACAACAAGAGAUGGGAUUUCACCAUGCUACUCAGGCUUGUCUUGAACUCCUGGGCUCAAGCGAUCUGCCUGCCUCAGCCUCCCAAAGUGCUGGGAUUACAGGUGUGAACCACCGUGCCCAGCCAGGCCUCAAUGUUUCUGUGGACAAAUUCACUGCUAUGUCUUCUCAUUUUACCCAAGACCUUCUGCCAGAGCAGGGCAUACAAGAUGCAUUCCCAAAAAGAAUACUGAGAGGAUAUGGAAAUUGUGGCCUUGAUAAUUUAUAUUUAAGGAAAGACUGGGAAAGUUUAGAUGAGUGUAAGUUGCAAAAAGAUUAUAAUGGACUUAACCAAUGUUCAUCAACUACCCAUAGCAAAAUCUUUCAAUAUAAUAAAUAUGUUAAAAUCUUUGAUAACUUUUCAAAUUU
rnacentral:lncRNA from 10 species